rnacentral:rRNA from 1 species
GUGGAGCCGACCUUGAAAUACCACCCUUUAAUGUUUGAUGUUCUAACGUGGACCCGUAAUCCGGGUUGCGGACAGUGUCUGGUGGGUAGUUUGACUGGGGCGGUCUCCUCCUAAAGAGUAACGGAGGAGCACGAAGGUUGGCUAAUCCUGGUCGGACAUCAGGAGGUUAGUGCAAUGGCAUAAGCCAGCUUGACUGCGAGCGUGACGGCGCGAGCAGGUGCGAAAGCAGGUCAUAGUGAUCCGGUGGUUCUGAAUGGAAGGGCCAUCGCUCAACGGAUAAAAGGUACUCCGGGGAUAACAGGCUGAUACCGCCCAAGAGUUCAUAUCGACGGCGGUGUUUGGCACCUCGAUGUCGGCUCAUCACAUCCUGGGGCUGAAGUAGGUCCCAAGGGUAUGGCUGUUCGCCAUUUAAAGUGGUACGCGAGCUGGGUUUAGAACGUCGUGAGACAGUUCGGUCCCUAUCUGCCGUGGGCGCUGGAGAACUGAGGGGGGCUGCUCCUAGUACGAGAGGACCGGAGUGGACGCAUCACUGGUGUUCGGGUUGUCAUGCCAAUGGCACUGCCCGGUAGCUAAAUGCGGAAGAGAUAAGUGCUGAAAGCAUCUAAGCACGAAACUUGCCCCGAGAUGAGUUCUCCCUGAGACUUAA